rnacentral:rRNA from 1 species
GUGCCAGCCGCCGCGGUAAUACGGAGGGUGCGAGCGUUAAUCGGAAUUACUGGGCGUAAAGCGCGCGUAGGCGGUUUUGUAAGUCGGAUGUGAAAUCCCCGGGCUUAACCUGGGAACUGCAUUCGAUACUGCAUAACUAGAGUAUGGUAGAGGGAAGUGGAAUUUCCGGUGUAGCGGUGAAAUGCGUAGAUAUCGGAAGGAACUCCAGUGGCGAAGGCGACUUCCUGGGCCAAUACUGACGCUGAGGUGCGAAAGCGUGGGGAGCAAACAGGAUUAGAUACCCUAGUAGUCC